GAUGAACGCUAGCGGCAGGCCUAACACAUGCAAGUCGAGGGAGAGGUUACCUUCGGGUAACCAAAACCGGCGCACGGGUGCGUAACGCGUAUACAAUCUGCCUUUCACAUAGGGAUAGCCCGAAGAAAUUUGGAUUAAUACCUAAUGGUAUAUAAGAGCGGCAUCGUUUUUAUAUUAAAGCUACGGUGGUGAAAGAUGAGUAUGCGUUCUAUUAGCUAGUUGGAGAGGUAACGGCUCCCCAAGGCGACGAUAGAUAGGGGUUCUGAGAGGGAUGUCCCCCACACUGGUACUGAGAUACGGACCAGACUCCUACGGGAGGCAGCAGUGAGGAAUAUUGGACAAUGGUCGGAAGACUGAUCCAGCCAUGCCGCGUGCAGGAUGAAGGUCCUAUGGAUUGUAAACUGCUUUUGUAAGGGGAGAAUAAGGAGUACGUGUACUUUGAUGACGGUACCUUACGAAUAAGCAUCGGCUAACUCCGUG
rnacentral:rRNA from 1 species